rnacentral:rRNA from 1 species
GCGUGAGUGAUGAAGGCCUUAGGGUUGUAAAGCUCUUUCGCCGGGGAAGAUAAUGACGGUACCCGGAGAAGAAGCCUCGGCUAACUCCGUGCCAGCAGCCGCGGUAAGACGGAGGAGGCUAGCGUUGUUCGGAAUUACUGGGCGUAAAGCGUACGCAGGUGGCGGUUCAAGUCGGAUGUGAAAGCCCGGGGCUCAACCCCGGAUGUGCAUCCGAUACUGGACUGCUGGAGUCCGGGAGAGGAGAGCGGAAUUCCCAGUGUAGAGGUGAAAUUCGU